CCUACGGGAGGCAGCAGUGGGGGAUAUUGCACAAUGGGGGGAACCCUGAUGCAGCGACGCCGCAUGGGCGAUGGAGUGCUUCGGCAUGUAAAGCCCUGUCAGCAGGGAAGAAAAUGACGGUAACUGACUAAUAAGCCCCGGCUAAAUCCGUGCCAGCAGCCGCGGUAAUACGGAGGGGGCAAGCGUUAGCCGGUAUUACUGGGAGUAAAGGGAGCGUGGGCGGCAUGGCAAGCCCGAUGUGAAAUACCAGGGCCCAAACCCGGGGCUGCAUUGGGAACUGGCAGUCUAGAGUCACGGAGAGGCAGGCGGAAUUCCAGGUGUAGCGGUGAAAUGCGUAGAUAUCAGGAGGAACACCAGUGGCGAAGGCGGCCUGCUGGACGGUGACUGACGCUGAGGCUCGAAAGCGUGGGGAGCAAACAGGAUUAGAUACCCGAGUAGUC
rnacentral:rRNA from 1 species